ACGCUGGCGGCAUGCCUAACACAUGCAAGUCGAACGAGAAAGUUCCUUCGGGAGCGAUUAAAGUGGCGCACGGGUGAGUAACGCGUAGACAAUCUGCCCUUCAGUCUGGGACAACUUUUCGAAAGGAGAGCUAAUACCGGAUGACAAUGUAACACAUAAGUGUCACAUUUGAAAGCUCCGGCGCUGAAGGAGGGGUCUGCGUCCCAUUAGCUAGUUGGUAAGGUAAAGGCUUACCAAGGCGACGAUGGGUAGCGGGUUUGAGAGGACGAUCCGCCACACUGGAACUGAGACACGGUCCAGACUCCUACGGGAGGCAGCAGUGGGGAAUAUUGCACAAUGGAGGCAACUCUGAUGCAGCAAUGUCGCGUGAGUGAAGAAGGCCCUUGGGUCGUAAAGCUCUUUUAUGGGGGAAGAUGAUGACGGUACCCCAAGAAUAAGCACCGGCUAACUACGUGCCAGCAGCCGCGGUAAUACGUAGGGUGCGAGCGUUGUUCGGAAUUACUGGGCGUAAAGGGCGCGCAGGCGGAAUAGUAAGUCGGAGGUGAAAGCCCGGGGCUCAACCCCGGAGGGUCUUUCGAAACUGCUAAUCUAGAGAGGGUCAGGGGCCAGCAGAAUUCUUGGUGUAGAGGUGAAAUUCGUAGAUAUCAAGAGGAAUACCGGUGGCGAAAGCGGCUGGCUGGGGCCACUCUGACGCUGAGGCGCGAAAGCGUGGGGAGCAAACAGGAUUAGAUACCCUGGUAGUCCACGCCGUAAACGAUGAGCACUGGAUGUCCGGAGGGUUCGACCCUUCUGGGUGUCUCAGCUAACGCAUUAAGUGCUCCGCCUGGGGAGUACG
rnacentral:rRNA from 1 species